CCUACGGGAGGCUGCAGUGGGGAAUAUUGCACAAUGGGCGCAAGCCUGAUGCAGCCAUGCCGCGUGUGUGAAGAAGGCCUUCGGGUUGUAAAGCACUUUCAGCGGGGAGGAAGGCGGUGAGGUUAAUAACCUCAUCGAUUGACGUUACCCGCAGAAGAAGCACCGGCUAGCUCCGUGCCAGCAGCCGCGGUAAUACGGAGGGUGCAAGCGUUAAUCGGAAUUACUGGGCGUAAAGCGCACGCAGGCGGUCUGUCAAGUCGGAUGUGAAAUCCCCGGGCUCAACCUGGGAACUGCAUUCGAAACUGGCAGGCUAGAGUCUUGUAGAGGGGGGUAGAAUUCCAGGUGUAGCGGUGAAAUGCGUAGAGAUCUGGAGGAAUACCGGUGGCGAAGGCGGCCCCCUGGACAAAGACUGACGCUCAGGUGCGAAAGCGUGGGGAGCAAACAGGAUUAGAUACCCUAGUAGUC
rnacentral:rRNA from 1 species